rnacentral:rRNA from 1 species
AUACGGGGGGUGCAAGCGUUAAUCGGAAUUACUGGGCGUAAAGCGCGCGUAGGCGGUUUGCUCAGUCGGAUGUGAAAGCCCAGGGCUCAACCUUGGAACUGCAUACGAUACUGGCAAACUAGAGUGUGAGAGAGGAUAGUGGAAUUACCGGUGUAGCGGUGAAAUGCGUAGAUAUCAGAAGGAACAUCAGUGGCGAAGGCGACUGUCUGGCUCAACACUGACGCUGAGGUGCGAAAGCGUGGGUAGCAAACAGGAUUAGAAACCCUAGUAGUCC